rnacentral:lncRNA from 1 species
GUCAGGUUAUUCAGGGGCAGGUAAUCCAGGGUUAAAUAAUUAAGGGGCAUGUAAUUUAGAGCAAGGUAAUUCAGUGGCAGGUAAUUGAGGGGCAUGUAAUUCAGGUUUAUGUAAUUCAGGUGCAGGUAAUUCAGGUGCAGGUAAUUCAGGGGCAUGUAAUUAAGGGGCAUGUAAUUGAGGUGCAGGUAAUUGAGCGGCAUGUAAUUCAGGGGCAGGUAAUCAAGGGGCAGGUAAACCAGAGGCAGGUAGUUCAGGUGCAGGUGAUUUAGAGGAAUGUCAUUCAUGGGCAUGUAAUUCAGGGGCAGGUAAAUCAGGGGUAUGUAAUUCAGAGGAAAGGUAAUUCAG